rnacentral:rRNA from 1 species
AUUGAACGCUGGCGGCAGGCUUAACACAUGCAAGUCGAUCGGAGAUGAGGUGCUUGCACCUUAUCUUAGCGGCGGACGGGUGCGUAAGGCUUAGGAAUCUGCCUAUUAGUGGGGGACAACAUUCCGAAAGGAAUGCUAAUACCGCAUACGUCCUACGGGAGAAAGCAGGGAAUCUUCGGACCUUGCGCUAAUAGAUGAUCCUAAGUCGGAUUAGCUAGUUGGUGGGGUAAUGGCCUACCAAGUCGACGAUCUGUAGCGGGUCUGAGAGGAUGAUCCGCCACACUGGGACUGAGACACGGCCCAGACUCCUACGGGAGGCAGCAGUGGGGAAUAUUGGACAAUGGGGGGAACCCUGAUCCAGCCAUGCCGCGUGUGUGAAGAAGGCCUUAUGGUUGUAAAGCACUUUAAGCGAGGAGGAGGCUACUGAGACUAAUACUCUUGGAUAGUGGACGUUACUCGCAGAAUAAGCACCGGCUAACUCUGUGCCAGCCGCCGCUGUAA